CCUACGGGCGGCAGCAGUGAGGAAUAUUGGUCAAUGGACGAGAGUCUGAACCAGCCAAGUAGCGUGAAGGAUGACUGCCCUAUGGGUUGUAAACUUCUUUUAUAUGGGAAUAAAAUGUUCCACGUGUGGGAUUUUGUAUGUACCAUAUGAAUAAGGAUCGGCUAACUCCGUGCCAGCAGCCGCGGUAAUACGGAGGAUCCGAGCGUUAUCCGGAUUUAUUGGGUUUAAAGGGAGCGUAGGUGGAUUGUUAAGUCAGUUGUGAAAGUUUGCGGCUCAACCGUAAAAUUGCAGUUGAAACUGGAUGUCUUGAGUACGGUAGAGGUGGGCGGAAUGCGUGGUGUAGCGGUGAAAUGCUUAGAUAUCACGAAGAACUCCGAUUGCGAAGGCAGUUCACUGGACUGCAACUGACACUGAGGCACGAAAGUGUGGGUAUCAAACAGGAUUAGAUACCCUAGUAGUC
rnacentral:rRNA from 1 species